AGGUGACCUUGGGCCUUCAUUUAAUGCUUUCUAAAUGUACGUUGCAAUGAUAAUCAUGGUGGAUAGUACAACAAAUAUCUUUUAAGAAAUUGAUCAUUUAUAUUAUGCUUAUUGUACAUAUUGCCAGACACUUCUUUAUUUUGUACACAGGUCUUUUCUCAUUGUUAAUAUCAUAUGACUAUUCUAUUCACGGCCUAAAAUUAUUGUAUAUAUAUAUAUAGACAAAUGUAAAGACAUAUAUGUAUGACAGCGCAAGUGUCCCUAGGGGGACAUAGCGCUUUAAAUUGAAAAAUAAAAUAAAAAAAAUCAUGGUGGAUAGUUAGUUGUCUUGUACUGUACUGUAAAUGUAUCUACAGUCCUGGCAUCUGCCAAGACAUGUUUCUAUAAGUUUCAUCUCAACAUUGAACUGAGAGUCCUGGUCUGGAGGAGGACAAGAUGGAACCCUUCCUGAGAACAGCUUUUUAUAUUUUAUCACCAAAUGGUAAAUAAUCACAUUUAUCUUUGUUUACUUUAUCUUUGAUUUUUGUAACAAUUAACUAAGAGUGGCAAUAUAAUUUACACCAAUACCUCGCUUUGCGUCGUUUCGUUUUGCGUUUUUUUUUUUUCGAAGUUGCGUCGCUGCUUAAUUUUUACUGAUUUUCACUGUGCGUCGUUAGAUUUUCGAAGUUGCGUUGUUUUGGAUUCGGGUCUUUAUUUUUAUUUUAUUAUUUUUUUUUUCUAAAAUAUGGCAAUACCUUUGUUUUUGAUUGCGCCAUGCCAUCAAAAUUUUAUUUUCACUUUGCGUCGUUUCAAUUUGCGUCGUGUUUUUUUGGAACGUAACCCCGACGCAAAGCGAGAUAUGGGUGUAUUGAAUUGUCAAAAUUGUCUACUUACAAAGUACCAUCCGUUUGGUUACUUGCACUCCCUGAUGAGGUUAGACGUACACAAAUCAGGAAAGUCAUUAAAGAAAUUCAUUACACACACCACAUUAUACCAGCCAUAGUUACCUAGAAAUAAUUUAAAUAAGAAAACUAGAUUUUGGACAAAGAAUUUCUUUAAUUAUCUUUGGGUGUUGCAAGCUUUCCAUAAAAUUUUCCUUUUCAACAGGCAAAUAUAAGGUUAUCCCAAAAGUUCGAGUUUUUCUUAUUACUUAGCGAAUAAUAUUAUUACGAGGCGAAUACAUAAUAAUACAUAAUACAAUUAUUAAUUAAUGCUUUCUAAAUGUACGUUGCCACGAUAAUCAUGGUGGAUAGUUAGCUGUCUUAUACUGUACUGUAAAUAUAUCUACAGUCCUGGCAUCUGCCAAGGCGUGUCUCUAUAAGUAUUAUAUCAACAUUUAUUUUAUUUAUAUUAUAUUUUAUGUAAUUAAUUAAAUGUUUAAUUUCAAAAAGAAUCUUACGCCUUUAAAAUAGUUUCGAAUUUUGAUAAUACAAUUACUUUAUACAUAAUACAAAGAUAUUAUACAUAACAGCGAAUAAUAUUGGUAUUUCAAGUUUUAGCAAGUGUUUAUGAACUUUUGGGGUAACCUUGUAAUAAAUAUGACAACAGAAUGAUAUUUUUACAAAAAUAAAUGUUAUUAGCGUUUGCCAAGCUCGGGCGUUCACAUCAGACUAUGUAUAUAUACUACUAUAGAAAAAUAUAUAAAAUAGAUUAUAAAAUAGGGUGAUAUAUAUAUACACACACAAUUUGAUAAUAUUGUUGUUGUUGUUGUUGCCGUGUCCAAUGAAGAGCCUCAGAUGUUUCCAUACAUCUCUAUCACAGCAGCAGCAAUGUCCUCUAUCUUGGGUGUGUAAAGCUGCUGCUCUGGGUCUAUGUCAAUUUUCUGCAAGGCUGCGGCCAUUGCUGGGCAUGAGAAUAUGUGAGUAGGUGUUAGUUCCACACCAGGACAGUUGUUGCAUGUCCUAAAAUAGCAUAUGCUAUGAUAUUUAACUCUGCCUUAAUCCCAAUUUUCUAUGGUAUCCAUUUUAUUCGCAAAAGAGUUUCCAUAUCCCAAGCAAUUUUCCAUCUUCAACUUGCAGCCGUCAAUCUAUUGAGACAGGCUGUUUUUAUAAACGUAAUUGUCUAAACACUGGGGAAGUGGUGCGACUUGUACCAUAUCUAUCUAGUCUUUGUUUGUAAGGAAGCUUACAAGACGUAACCUCUACUGGCUCAUCCCCAACACUUGCUAAUAAAGGAGCUUGCUAAUUCCAGCCCUCUUACGAAGCCAUUGUGGCAAACUGUUUGUUGUUUUUCCCCAGGGAUGUGUGGAAAUCUCAUCGUUUUUCUUUCUUUGUUUUUCUAAAACUUUGUCUUCUUCACGCCUCUUCAAUAUUAUUUGCUACUGAGGUUUUUUUUUAUUAUACACGAUUGCUUUUUUUUUUUUUGUCUUCCUGAGAUGUGAUAGACACUUUUUGUCAUUUUGUUUCUCAAAAACUCCGUAUUUUUCAUUUUUCAAUAGUCAUUGAAUUUUCUAUAAUUUAUUUUUGACUAAGGACCCUGCUUUUAAAAUUCGUCUUAUUAUACUUUUUGAAUAGAGAAAAAUAGCAUUAUUAUAUUGUCGCGAUAUCAAUUUAGAGUUUUAUUGAUCAAAUGAUAAACCUUGUGAGUGAUGUUUCCCUCACAACAAAACUAGAAACAAGAAAAUUAAAUAUCAGUUACAAAAUUUACAUACCUUCCUUAUAUAACAUUAAACAUAAACAUAUUUACAUAUUUACUAACAUUUGAUUUACAUAAACCAAUUUCGUGACAAUAUUUCUCCCUUUCUACAAUUAUUUUUUAUUUAGAGUUAUUUUAUAGGUUGUAUUUUUUUAUGAAGUGAAUAAAUAUGUUUUGAGACAUUUUGGCUUUUUAUAGAAUUAUCUUUUUAUAUUGUUUCUUUAUAAAGUAAUUAAUAAAAUUUACUAUUAUAUUUCUUUAAUAUAACGAUAUCCAUUUUGAUUUUCUUUUAACAUGUAUAAAAAUAAUUUGUCUGUUUUUAAGAACCUCAUCUUGAUAUUCUUCCUGAUUAUAAUUUUUUUUAAAUAUUUUAUUGAUAACGCUUUAAAAAUGUAUAAUAAAACAAUAUAAUGCGGCUUAUGAUUGUAGAACGACAUUUGAAAAUUAUCCCGCAUGUGUUUUAUUUGAACGAAAAAUCAAAAUUUAUUUGAAAUAAAUUUCGAUUUUUUGUUCAAAGGAAACACAUGCGGGAUAAUUUUCAAAUGUCGUUCUACACUUUUAAAAUUUAAUAAAAAUAAAGCUUCCAGGGCUAAGUUUCUUGUGUGAACCUUUUAUUUUCAAACUUUUGGACUUAUCAGUCCUACAACAGGAGUAUUACGUUAACAAAUUAAUGAUAAAUACUAUUUAUAUAUAAAUUGUUAUUUACCUAUUUUAAAAUACCUAUAAUAUAUUUCUCACAAUGUCAUAAGUAUUUAAAAUAUGUAAAUAAUAAUUUGUAUAUGUGGUGUUCCUUCGAUUAAAUAAUUAAAUAUGCUUUACCAAAUUAAGAAACAAAUUUUAAUUAUAUAUCUUUUAAUGCUAUAUAUACACUUUUAAAUAUAUUCAUAACAACAACAAUAAUUACAGUGCUGCCAAAUCCAAACAAUCAAAAAUAAAUUGAUUAAACAGAGUAUAUUAUAAAAUUAUUAUAAGGUAUAUUACAGUAUAAAAAUAGUAUUUAUCAUUAAUUUGUUAAUACUACUCUUAAAGGACUGACAAGUCCGAAAUCUUGAAAAUAAAAGUUGUGCACAAAAACUUAGAACUGGAAGCUUCAUUAAUUUUUAAUUUUAUUAUAAAUAAGGAAUAAAAACGUUACCUGAGUCUACACACCCAAGAUAGUGGACAUGGCGACUGCUGUGAUAGAGAUGUAUGGGGACAUCUGAGGAUCUUCAUUGGACACGACAACAACAAGCGUAGCGUUCUCACGUAAUUCUGGCCUUAACUACCCGUUUCAUGAUUUUUCAGGAUGCCUGAAUGACCAGUUUUAUGGUCGUUGAGGUACAGCUUACACCACGCUGAUGAGGGCCAACAGCCCGAAACCCGUCUGUGGUUAGCUUUUCUUGAUUAAUCAAGAAUGGGUAUUUGGCCAAUUCUGGAAUAAUUAAAAAUCAACAAUAAUAGUUGAUAUUUAUUCCGAUAGAUGGCGCAAGUCAUCAGCUACUUUCAGUUGCACGAUAAGAAGAUGCCUUUUUCUUAAUAAAGAGUUUUGUUUGUGUGUGUAGGAACCAAGGAGAUAGAAAAAGAGAUAAAAAUGGAGAUUUCCUGAAGGGAUGCCAUUCCAGACAUGCUUUUACAAUACAGAUCAACUUGUAAAUGCAUAUUCUGGAAUGAUAACCUUAUCAGACAUUCUUCGGGAAUUUUUUCUGAAACACAAGUUCUAGGUGAGUAAUCUUAUUUGUGUUGUGUGCAAUGUAUGCUUUGUUAGAAUACUACUUUUGUAUUUAGGUUAAACAUUUUGUUGUUAUCUAUAUAUAUAUAAAAUUGAAUGUCUGUCUGUCUGUAAGUUUGUACUCUAUAGAUUCAAAAACCAUACAUCCAAUCGCCGUGAAAUGUUGGGAUAUUAUUAGGUAUAUCCCCGGGAAGGUUUUUGAAAAAUAUUUUCUUGAAUAUCCUUAGAGUUAUUUGCAGAUUUGUAUAUUUAACUCGCAAGCAGCGCCCCCAUUGCGACGAUGAUAACAAGUUUUUUUAUCUAUAAGUUUUAUUAUCACUAAGUUCAUUAUCUUAAAGAUUAUUUAUCAAAAGUAAGAUUUUCUACCUAUUAAUUGCGCACAAGUCAAAGUUAGUUUUAUCAUUUAUCUACAACAUAUAUAUUGGGAGAAUAGAUAAAAUGAUGAUUUUCUAAUGUAGAAAAUUAGGAAAGACAAAAUUCAGGAUGACACGGCAAUUUAUUUGAGACAAGAAUAAUGAUACAAUUCCAAGGCAAGAUACUAUUCCUUUAACUUCCAAUUACCGAGGGAACCAAUUAAUAUUCAUUUUAUUCAACUUAUCGAGUAUUUUUCAAGGGACCGGGAAAAAAUGUUCACUUUAUCGAAAGAUUCAAAUUUACGAGUUUCAAACUAUCAAAAUAUAUCUAUUAUUUUUUUAUAAGUUUAUAGAGAAUUAUUUUAACAAAUGUUCGUUAGACAAACCUUUACUCGGGUAAAACCCGGGCGAAGCCGGGUACAUCCGCUAGUUAUUUAUAAAUUCAAUUCCCUUUUAUCAAUAUAAUUUGUAAUAAUUAAAUUUACUGGAAAUGUGUUUAUUUUCAAUAAUUACAUCAACUAUUAUAUCUACAUACUUGACUGCAAUGAUAAAAGUUAUUGAAUGAGAAGGCUUGGCUCAUAAGUUUGGAAAAAAACGCUAAGAAGAUUCACCAUUGAUAAGCAAAGCUUUCUCAUUCAAUAACUUAUAUCAUUGCAGUAAGGUCUAUAGAGAUAAUAUUUAAUAUAAUUAUUGAAAAGAAACACAUUUCCAGUAAAUGUAAUUGUUAUAAAAAUUUCAUUGUUAUUAUUUAUACAGUGGACCCUCGGUUUACGAGCACCUUGGAGUACGAGCUUUUCGCAGUACGAGCAAAUUUUUUGAAAAAUUUACCUCGGAUUACGAGUGAAAUUUCGCAUUACGAGCAACUCGUGAUGGUUGCCCGUAAUCGUGAUGGAUGAAAAUUCACUGGGAUCCCUCCCUUCAGAUCAGAUUCGGGAAAUAUGUAAAAUGUGGGAAACUGUGCAAUUGUUCGUAGCAAGAAGAAUUGCCUGAGUUUCAAUUAUUAAAAAUAAGAAAUUAGUUUCGCACUACGAGCGUUUUGGAGUACGAGCAUGGCUCUGGAACGGACUAUGCUCGCAAACCUAGGGUCCACUGUAGUUCAAUUUUUGAAGCUUUUUUCUUAAAAUUAAUGUAAGCUAGAACGGUCAAGUCUUCUCUCUCAUUCGCUUUUGAAGAUCAAAUGAUUCAGACGAUAAAAGAAAAAAAUGUCCAAAUUUAAAAUAAAAAUGCAUUCGCUAUAUAUGCAAAUAAAGAAGCAUAUAUCUAUAUCAAAGAGGAAGAAAGAGAUAAAAUAGGAUAAACACACAUACACCUUUAUUAAGAACACCGGUCUUAUACAGAUUCACACACACACAAAAGCCUUUAUUAAGACACACAGGUCUUACAGAGGAUUCUCCUUGGGCUUACAAGACGGAGAAACCUAUGAAAGUGAGAAAUAAAAAAUGAAGAAAGAUUAUAUACAUAUGGUAAAUAUAUACAGAUUAUAAGAAAGAAUAAAAAAAUAAGAAAAAAAAUUGGAAAUAUGGAUGGGAGAAGUGGAGAGCGAAAAGAGGAAAUAAAACAGGUAUUUACAUAUGGAACAAGUCAAUUUAAGCUCUUCUGCUCACACAGCACAGGUGGGCCAUGGCUUUUUCAAGAAAUCUUUAAGAGCUUAUACAGAUUCAUUAUAGGAAAGAAGCAUAGAUAGAGGUCCUAUACUUCAGGUAGCACAGAACCCAACAGCCUCCAGGUCUGACGCAUAUCCAGUGGAGAAAAUAGGAUAUAAAUGAUUAUGUAUUAUAUUGCUCUUUUGUUUCAGGUCAUUUUGUCUCUUUACCACAGAUAGUUUGAUUUGAAAUUCGCUCGACAUCAUAUUGAAACUAAUGAUCAUCAAUGGUUAACUUUCAUCUGUUUUAUCUACCAAUUGCAACAGCUAUUUUUUAUAUAUAUUGUAACCAAGUAUUUAUUAAUUUUAUUAUUUUUUAUUGACAGAGUGGUCAUUUUCAUGCUUAUAUUUUGUUACUCUGUAAAUUUCCCUCCUGGCUUAUCUUUUGUUUACUUUUCAUAGUUUGUCCUUUCCUGAAAUAAAUUUUGUUUCCUCCUGAAGUUUUUGUCUUCCUUAAUUUUCCACGUGGCAAUAUAUAUAUAUAGUAAGUCAUCAAUAGAACACUGUUAUUUUUGGUGUCUAGGAUAACUAAGGAGAUGUAAAUUUAUGAAUGUAAACACUAUUUUUAAGCUUCGAGAGCUUUGUUGCCAUAGAUACACUAUCUAUAUAUUGUCUAAUAUGUGAAAGGGCCAACAGCCCGAAACGCAUUCGUGGAUGGCUUUUCUUGAUUUAUCAAGAAAUUGGGUUGGUCAAAUAUCAGGAAACAGGCUAAAUCAAUGUUUAGUUGAUUUCUGUUCCACUAGAUGGCACUCGGCCAUCUAAAAAAAGCACAUGUGCUCUUAGUCAGGAUAUGCCUUUUUUGUUUUUUAUUGUCUAAUAUAAAAAUAGGAUAUCAAGACUGAAUAAGAUGAAUGCUAUAUUAUUGUAUCAAAUCUACAAAUGAUUAUUGAUUAGGCAUAACUACUUAGCAUGUAGAUGGAAAUUUUACUGGGAGGAAAUUGAUCUAUAAAAACAUAAGGCGCCUCUUCCGUUAAAUUAAACGUCAAAACUAGACGCCAUCUUUUUACUGUCUAGUUUUGGCGUCUAUAUGGCGUCUAGUUUUCACGUUUAAUUUGACUGGAGAGGCGCCUUAUUAUUUUAUAGAUACUUAAAAUACAUUUUAUACAUACACACACAUAAAGCUUUAUUAAGACCACCGGUCUUAUACAGAUUCACCACAAGAAGGAAGCAUAGAUGGAGUCCUAUACUCCAGGCAGUGCAGAACCCAACAACAGCCUCCAGGUCCGACACAUGUCCAGUGGCCACACCGUACAUAGGUAUCACCUUUUAGCGUAUUACUAAAAGGCGAGUGUGGAAUCAGCCGCGUUUCAGUCUUCGCUUUCCACAUCCAAAUGGACCACGAUAUUCGGCGAUUCUAUUAAUCUCCUACGAACGGUGACUGCGGUUUUGUAGAAUUUAUAUAAACCAAAGGUUAUACAUUUUAUACGUCUUUAAUGUUCCACCGAAGGAAGGUAGGCAAAGCCGAGCGUGUCGAGAUACAAAAUCCUCCUAACAUAGGCCGUUAGGUGGUAGUUUUUCCAAACAAAUUCCCUAUGGUAAUGAGCUAAGAUGACGUAGAGGCAUACAGACUUCGGUCUAGGUAGCCCACUAUCCAUCGGAGUAUGUUUUACCAGAAAAAAUAUACAUUUUUCAACUCUAAAUUAUAUUUUACUCUUCAAACAGAAUGCUUAGACAUUAGUCUAUUAUGCAAAUGAACAGUUGGACAAUAUUAACAUAUAUUCUUAUUCUAGAAUGAGAUAUAUGAUUCUUGAGAAUAUAUCUUCUGCGUCGUCCUCACAUCACAUCAUUGAAGGCUCUUCCAAGAAUUCCACAAAGAUCUUUAUCUUGUUUUAAACUAUCCAGAUUUCUGGAAGGAAGUUGAAGAGAAGGCUGAUUUUGUGUUAAACGCUGAAGAUAGAUCAAAAGGAAUAUUAAUGACAACAUAUAGAAGAAUUGACAGUUGGAUGAGGAAAGCUGAUGUGGAACUACCAGGCCUAUGUAAGUAUUUUCCUGUUUUUUAUAUUUUAAAACUCUUUAUUGGGAGAUUAUUA